AUAUUUCGUCUAAUUUAUGUCUUAUCAGGUAAAAAAUCUAGUCUUAUCAGCUUAAUAUCUGUUACGUCCUGCCUCACAGGGGCAGAAUAUGAAAAUCAUUUUUGGCCCACGACAGAGUGUUAAGAGAAUGUUCUUCCUCUGUCACUAUUCACAGGAUGUCUCCUCACUUUCGACUCUCUUAAAGUAACCAAAC